rnacentral:misc_RNA from 1 species
AAGGCUAGGACUUGUUUCUUUAGCAUAUUUGUGGAAACAGGAUCAAUCUUUGCUUCUACAUGAAAUGAUAAACAAUGGAAUUUUGGCCAUCACGGUGAAGGUUGCAGCAAUGGGGUUGGAUCCUGUGAAGCACUUGGGAAAAGAAUUAUCAUCUUUGGAUUCAGAUUUACAUAAGUUGAAGAGAUUAUAUGGGAUCAAUGUAUGUGGCGAAGGUGGG